CCCUUAGAUGUUCUGGGCCGCACGCGCGCUACACUGACGAAUGCAACGAGCUUAUAACCUUGGCCGACAGGCCUGGGCAAUCUUUGAACAUCGAUCGUGAUCGGGAUAGAUUCUUGUAAUUUUUGAUCUUAAACGAGGAAUUCCUAGUAAACGCAAGUCAUCAGCUUGCAUUGAUUACGUCCCUGCCCUUUGUACACACCGCCCGUCGCACCUACCGAUUGAAUGGUCCGGUGAAAUCUCCGGACUGGCGUGAGUCGGAGCAAUCUGACAAACACCGGAAAGUUGAUUAAACCUUACCAUUUAGAGGAAGGUGAAGUCGUAACA
rnacentral:rRNA from 1 species